CCUACGGGAGGCUGCAGUGAGGAAUAUUGGUCAAUGGACGAGAGUCUGAACCAGCCAAGUAGCGUGAAGGAUGACGGCCCUAUGGGUUGUAAACUUCUUUUAUAUGGGAGUAAAAUGUUCCACGUGUGGGGUUUUGUGUGUACCAGAUGAAUAAGGAUCGGCUAACUCCGUGCCAGCAGCCGCGGUAAUACGGAGGAUCCGAGCGUUCUCCGGAUUUAUUGGGUUUAAAGGGAGCGUAGGUGGAUUGUUAAGUCAGUUGUGAAAUUUUGCGGCUCAAACGUAAAAUAGCAGUUGAAACUGGUAGUCGUGAGUACAGUAGAGGUGGGCGGAAUGCGUGGUGUAGCGGUGAAAUGCUUAGAUAUCACGAAGAACUCCGAUUGCGAAGGCAGCUGACUGGCCUGCAACUGACACUGAGGCACGAAAGUGUGGGUAUCAAACAGGAUUAGAUACCCUUGUAGUC
rnacentral:rRNA from 1 species